rnacentral:rRNA from 1 species
UAGGGAAUCUUCGGCAAUGGGGGGAACCCUGACCGAGCAACGCCGCGUGAGUGAAGAAGGUUUUCGGAUCGUAAAGCUCUGUUGUUAAGGAAGAACGAGUGUGAGAAUGGAAAGUUCAUGCUGUGACGGUACUUAACCAGAAAGGGACGGCUAACUACGUGCCAGCAGCCGCGGUAAUACGUAGGUCCCGAGCGUUGUCCGGAUUUAUUGGGCGUAAAGCGAGCGCAGGCGGUUAGAAAAGUCUGAAGUGAAAGGCAGUGGCUCAACCAUUGUAGGCUUUGGAAACUGUUUAACUUGAGUGCAGAAGGGGAGAGUGGAAUUCCAUGUGUAGCGGUGAAAUGCUUAGAUAUAUGGAGGAACACCGGUGGCGAAAGCGGCUCUCUGGUCUGUAACUGACGCUGAGGCUCGAAAGCGUGGGGAGCGAACAGG